rnacentral:lncRNA from 1 species
CCUCUGGCAGAGAGCUUACUCUGACUAAUGUGUUGUACGUGCCAGAGAUUCGCAAGAAUCUGAUCUCUGGGUCUCUUCUGAGCAAGAAUGGUUUCCGCAUGGUCAUUGAAGCGGAUAAGCUGGUGAUUACCAAAAUAGGAGUUUAUGUUGGGAAAGGCUAUAUGACUGAUGGCCUGUUUAAAUUGAAUGUAAUUGCUGUAACCCCAACUGUUAUGAAUAAUGAGAAAAC